CAACAAUUUCCUAUUCUUCAGAAACCUGGUCCUCGGUUUCUGUCCAGUCUGGGUUUGUGGCAGGAUAGAACUCUGUUCCCUAGCUUUCAACUGAGGUCCCUUUUAAUACUGAAGCUUUUGUGGUGGUUCAGGGUUGUGGUCAGGUUCACUUGAGUCACAAGUACUUUUGGGAUGCUGUCUUCAAGAGUAUGGACAAAGCCUGGCGGGACCACCUAUCCAGAAAGAUUCUGCACUAACACUCGAUCACCUGGUUGGAG